CUGUCCGUAACGGUCGUGUGAAACUACCUUUUGUUAUCCUUGUACUAAAAUGUGGUAUAGUGAUGUUACCUUAUCACUGUUUGUGUUAAGUCACCUCUUCAUUACGAGUUAUUGCGGUAUACCAGUGCUGCAAAUGUUUCGGAGUAACAAAUACAAUUUGAAAAGACCUAACGAAGUAAAGCCCUAUUAUUGGCAUGAUUACGAAAUCAGUAGCUCUGAAGAGGAUUACAGUUAUUUUGAAUACGAUGAUAUCGAUGACAAAAUAUUACAAUAUGCCAACAUUCAUACACGGCAUCCUCAGUUUCUCAGUCCCAAACUAUACGAUCGUUCGAAGGGUUUAUGUCCAAACAACAGAACAUGUGCCAGAAAGUGCUGUUACCACUCACUGGGGUUCAACCAGACAACAAACAGAUGCACUCGUUUAAGGACGCAAGACGAGUUUAACCCUCCAGUGUGGCAAGGGUAUAAACUGAUGAAAGGUAUCAACGCAGGAAAUGAACUCUAUUUUUUGUAUGGCUAUGUAAACUGUGGAUCAGAGGAACCGGUUAUACCGAAUACAGGCGUACGGUUACAGUCGGAUGGCACCAUAAUGGUAGAGACGACUUCAGCUAUGGGCCCCGAGCUGGUCUUCAAAGUAAACGAGUAUUGUUUGGACUUGUUCAUUACAGAAGAUAAUGAAAUCCAAUUAAAUGCCUUGGUUUGUCAUCUGAGGACUCGCAGAGAAAGGAGGCAUUUUUAUA